GAUGAACGCUGGCGGCGUGCCUAACACAUGCAAGUCGAGCGAACAGAGGAGGAACCUUCCUUUCAUCCGUUAUCGGCGCACGGGUGUGUAACACGCGGAUAACCUAUCUACAAGACUGGGAUAACACAGGGAAAACGGAGCUCAUAUAGGACAUUCUAUCUAACCGCAUGGUCCAAUAAUGAUAGAAGGUUGUGUCGAUGCAUAUAGUUGGAUUCGCGCCGCAUUAGCUAGUUGGUGAGGUAACGGCUUACCAAGGCAUCGAUGCGUACCCGACCGGAUAGGGGGACGGGCCAAACGGGAACGGAACCCCGCUCAGAACUCCAACGGGGGCAAGCAGUAGGGAAUCUUCGGAAAUGGGCGAAGGCUUGACGGAGCAAGCCCGCGUGGGUAAUGAGGGCCUUCGGAUCGUAAGACUCUGUAAUUAGGGAAGAACAACUGUUUGCGAAACGAGGCAAGUAUUGACGGUACCUAAACAGAAAGCCACGGCUAACUACGUG
rnacentral:rRNA from 1 species